rnacentral:ncRNA from 1 species
CAAAGGUUUGGUCCUGGCUUUACUAUCAGCUUUAACCCAGUUUAUACAUGCAAGUAUCCGCAUCCCCGUGAGAAUGCCCUCAAUCCCCCGCCCGGGGAAGAGGAGCAGGCAUCAGGCACAGUACCCCUAGCCCAAGACGCCUUGCUACGCCACACCCCCAAGGGACUUCAGCAGUAAUAAAUAUUAAGCCAUAAGUGAAAACUUGACUUAGUCAGGUUACUUAGGGUCGGUAAAAUUCGUGCCAGCCACCGCGGUUAUACGAAAGACCCUAGUUGAUAAAUACGGCACAAAGGGUGGUUAAGGAAUGAUACACAAUAGAGUCAAAGACCCCCUAAGCCGUCAUACGCACCCNGGGGGCACGAAGCCCAAACACGAAAGUAACUCUACCUUUAUUUACCUGACUCCACGAAAGCUAAGAAACAAACUGGGAUUAGAUACCCCACUAUGCUUAGCCUUAAACCCAGAUGUUAAUAUAUUCAUCCGGCCGGGUACUACGAGCACAGCUUAAAACCCAAAGGACUUGGCGGUGCCUCAGAUCCACCUAGAGGAGCCUGUUCUAGAACCGAUAACCCCCGUUAAACCUUACCAUCCCUUGUUUUCCCCGCCUAUAUACCGCCGUCGUCAGCUUACCCCAUAAGGGAAUAACAGUAAGCAAAAUGAACAAAACCCAAAACGUCAGGUCGAGGUGUAGCGUACGAGAUGGAAAGAAAUGGGCUACAUUUUCUAUUACAGAACACUACGGAUAGUGCCCUGAAACAGGCACUUGAAGGCGGAUUUAGCAGUAAAAAGAAAACAGGUGUCCUUUUGAACUAGGCUCUGAGGCACGCACACACCGCCCGUCACUCUCCCCUACAACUUAAACCAAAAAUUUCUUAAAAAAUUAUACAACAACACGGGGAGGCAAGUCGUAACAUGGUAAGUGUACCGGAAGGUGCACUUGGAAUAA